GACGAACCGUACGAACGUUAUUCGGAAUUACUGGGCUUAAAGGGUGCGUAGGCGGCGCAGUAAGUUGGGUGUGAAAUCCCUCGCUUAACCGAGGAAUUGCGCCCAAAACUACUGUGCUCGAGGGAGAUAGAGGUGAGCGGAACUUAGGGUGGAGCGGUGAAAUGCGUUGAUAUCCUAAGGAACACCGGUGGCGAAAAGCGGCUCACUGGAUCUCUUCUGACGCUGAGGCACGAAAGCUAGGGUAGCAAACGGG
rnacentral:rRNA from 1 species